CAGGCACACGCUGGAAAGCAGGGCCCUUCUCAUCCGAUGAGGGGCCCUCGCCGAAGGGGAAAGCCGGUUCGCCGGUGAAGCUCUCAGGCACCAUGGACAGCGGGGGGACC
rfam:Candidatus Microthrix parvicella RN1 genomic scaffold, 2605